CUUUCACCUCCUUACUUAAGUUUAUUCCUAGGUAUUUUAUUAUUUUUAGUGCAAUUGUAAAUGGAAUUGUUUUCUUAAUAUCUCGUUCUGCCACUUCAUUAUUACUGUGUAAAUGCACCAGAUUCUUGUUGUGUGAGUUCUUAUUGAAUUCAUUUAUUCAUAAAAUGCAGAUUUUCCUUGUGUACUGUGGUGUCUGAUGCAAUGCAUCCUGAAUAAACUAGCAAUUCGCUAGUUUACUCUGAUGACUAAAUAUGGUCUGGUGUGUGUGGUCUUUCUCAUUUUCUUCCAGUAUCUUUAAGGAUGAAUCCUAAGAACUUGGACGCUUGCAAUAAAGGAAUUUUCUUUUAACCCCAGCUGUCUCUGGAUUGGUGACAUACACACAUUUGUCAACAUUUCCAGUAGGUGGAGAGGCGGCUGUUUGAGCUCUGUUGUGUACAGCUUUGAACUAAGACUGGAGUUCCUUUCUGGGUGCCUCCUUCUGAAAGCUCUGAUGAACACACACCAGUGGAGGACGAUGAGCCAAAGAAAAGCACCAGUUCAGCUUCUACUUCAGAAGAAGAAAAGAAGAAGAAGAAUUCUAAUCAUUUGAAAGAGAGGUCCAAGAAAAAGAGAAAGAAGAAAUCCUCUAAAAGAAAAUGCAAGAAGUACUCUGAUGACAGCGACAGUGACUCUGACUCUGACUCUGACUCAGACUCCAGUGGUAAGAAGGCGGCAUCACUCUGCAGGCCUGGCUUCAAAACUCGUUUUCCUUCGUAGAACUGAUUGCAGAGGAAGGUUAAGGACAGUGGCCGAGAGGUGUUGAGCACUGGCUGUCUCGGUGCCAGGAGCCCCGCUAAGCGCUGGCUGUUCUCAGUGCUGCUCAGUCCACACGUGGCUCCAGACUGCGUCUUAGAGAUGGGGAAAUGGGGCGCAGAGCAGGUUGCGACACCGCACUCAGGCUCACACAGCUGAGAUCCAGACCCAAGCGCUGUGACCCCAGAUGGGUGGUGUCUAGCCGUACAAGGCACGUCGUGGCAGCAAACCGAACCGAGGCGGGGUCGGGCCGGGAGACGUGUGGCAGCAAAGCCAGCCCCAUGGGGCUGCGUCAGGCCCGGGGAGCAGCUCUCUUGUGUCGUCCUCACACUCAGCGGGCACCUCUGUGCCAUUUUCCAAAAGGCACACCUCAGAGGACCCCCUGCCGGCUGGCAGCUGAUUUAUGGAGGACACCCCCACCCUCCGUGGCGUGGUGCCUCCCAGAAAGCCCCCUUUUUGUGCCUUCUCCUGGCUGAUGGUUGACAGGAUGAUUGACCCCCCCCCCCCACCUCUGGGGACAUUGCAUAAUGGUGUCUCUUCCCCUGAUGUCACUGGGGUUUCCUGGCUCCUGUUGUUACUUUUCUUCCUCACUGCUGGGAGAGUGAACUACCUUUUAUUUUUAAAAAAGAUUUAUUUAUUUUAGAGAGAGUGUGCAGGUGUGCAGGUGGGAGGGAGGGCCCGACAGAGAGAAUCUGGAGCUGACCUCCCCACUGACCAUGGAG